rnacentral:rRNA from 1 species
UAAUACGUAGGGGGCAAGCGUUGUUCGGAAUUACUGGGCGUAAAGGGCGCGUAGGCGGCAUGGCAAGUCGGGAGUGAAAGCCCGGGGCUCAACCCCGGAACUGCUUUCGAAACUGCCAAGCUAGAGUACGGAAGGGGCAACUGGAAUUCCCAGUGUAGCGGUGAAAUGCGUAGAUAUUGGGAAGAACACCGGAGGCGAAGGCGGGUUGCUGGGCCGAUACUGACGCUGAGGCGCGAAAGCCAGGGGAGCAAACGGG